rnacentral:rRNA from 1 species
GACGGAGGGUGCUAGCGUUGUUCGGAAUGACUGGGCGUAAAGGGCGCGUAGGCGGCCGCUUGCGUCGGAUGUGAAAGCCCGGGGCUCAACCCCGGAACGGCAUCCGAUACGGGGCGGCUCGAGACCGAGAGAGGUGAGUGGAAUACCCAGUGUAGAGGUGAAAUUCGUAGAUAUUGGGUGGAACACCGAUGGCGAAGGCAGGUCUCUGGGCCACUACUGACGCUGAGAAGCGAAAGCAUGGGGAGCGAACAGG